UACGGGGGGGGCAAGCGUUGUUCGGAAUUACUGGGCGUAAAGGGCUCGUAGGUGGCCAACUCAGUCGGACGUGAAAUCCCUCGGCUUAACCGGGGAACUGCGUCUGAUACUGGAUGGCUUGAGUUUGGGAGAGGGACGCGGAAUUCCAGGUGUAGCGGUGAAAUGCGUAGAUAUCUGGAGGAACACCGGUGGCGAAGGCGGCGUCCUGGACCAACACUGACACUGAGGAGCGAAAGCCAGGGGAGCAAACGGG
rnacentral:rRNA from 1 species